rnacentral:rRNA from 1 species
AGAGUUUGAUUCUGGCUCAGGAUGAACGCUAGCUACAGGCUUAACACAUGCAAGUCGAGGGGCAGCAUGGGAGUUGCUUGCAAUUCCUGAUGGCGACCGGCGCACGGGUGAGUAACGCGUAUCCAACCAUCCCCUUAGUAGGGCAUAGCCCGGUGAAAAUCGGAUUAACACCCUAUGUUCUUCACAGCAGACAUCUAACGUGAAGCAAAGGUUCACCGCUAAGGGAUGGGGAUGCGUCUGAUUAGGUAGUAGGCGGGGUAACGGCCCACCUAGCCUUCGAUCAGUAGGGGUUCUGAGAGGAAGGUCCCCCACAUUGGAACUGAGACACGGUCCAAACUCCUACGGGAGGCAGCAGUGAGGAAUAUUGGUCAAUGGGCGAGAGCCUGAACCAGCCAAGUAGCCGUGCAGGAUGACGGCCCUAUGGGUUGUAAACUGCUUUUAUAUGGGGAUAAAGUUCACCACGUGUGGUGUUUUGUAGGUACCAUAUGAAUAAGGACCGGCUAAUUCCGUGCCAGCCGCCGC